AAAGGGCGUUCUGAUUGGGAGAGUUGCAGCACGCUGACCCCAUAAACGUUCUCUGUUACUCUUUAUUGUCAUUUUCCGGAAGUCUCACUGAUAGGUUAUUUUUACGCCGCCGGUGAAAUGAGCCAACAAGCCAGAAGACAGUUUCCUCCUGGCUACCUUUGGAUCAAAAUGUAGAACUCUCAACUCCUCUUGCACCAUGUUUGCCUGGAUGCUGCCAUGCUUCCUUCCACGAUGAUAAUGGACUGAACCUCUGAACCUGUAAGCCAGCCCCAGUUAAAUAUUUGCCCUUAUAAAAGUUGCCUUGGUCAUGGUGUCUCUUCACAGCCAGGAAACCCUAACAGCAUCAAAGGAGGGGAGAUGAGAGGACAGAAGAGCAGCCCUGACUGGGAACGUUCCCUGCCACAACCUGCAGGGCCUUUGGACUCAAUGACAGACCCAAGAAGAAUCUAAGACAAGCCUGACAGUGGUGGCACACACCUUUAAUCCCAGCACUUGGGAGGCAGAGGAAAGCAGAACUCUGAGUUCAAGGCCAGUGUGCUCUACAGAGUUCCAGGACGGACAGGGCUACACAGAAAAACCCUGUUUUGGAAAAGAACAAAACAAACAAACCUAAGACAGUCCUUGAAGAUGACGUAGCGUCCCCUCCUCAGAAGGGGUCCUCAUCCCCUGCCCCUGCCUCUUCCUCUUCUGUCAGUGCCUGUCUCUCUUCUCCACUGGGACACUUCUGCCACAGGUCAUGGGCUCUGGAGAUUCUGUGGGACUCUUGUCAGUUCUCUUGCUCUACCUUUCAGCAGCAUUUGAAACCAACAACUACUCUCUCCUUGGAACACAGCAAAUGAAGUUAGACAUUAUUCACGACAUAAUAAGUAAAAGUCGCCUUGAGCAUAGCUGUGUAAA